rnacentral:rRNA from 1 species
GAUGAACGCUGGCGGCGUGCCUAAUACAUGCAAGUCGAGCGAAGCGGGGACGGGUGAGUAACACGUGGAUAACCUCCUAUCAGACUGGGAUAACUUCGGGAAACCUGCGCUAAACCGGAUACUUAUAGAUGGCUCCGCGCUUCAUUAGCUAGUUGGUAAGGUAACGGCUUAGCAAGGCAACGAUGCAUAGACGACCUGAGAGGGUGAUCGGCGACUGUGUAAAUGAGACGCGGAGCAGACUCCUACGGGAGGCAGCAGUAGGAAUUCUUCCGCAAUGGGCAAGAGUCUGUCGGGGCAACGCCGCGUGAGUGAAGAAGGGUUUCGGAUCGUAAAACUCUGUAGUUAGAGGAGCGGUACCUAAUCAGAGAGCCACGGCUAACUACGUGCCAGCAGCCGCGGUAAUAC